CGGGGUGAGUAAUGUAUGGGGAUCUGCCUGAUGGCGGGGGAUAACUACUGGAAACGGUAGCUAAUACCGCAUAAUGUCUGCGGACCAAAGCGGGGGACCUCCGGGCCUCGCGCCAUCAGAUGAACCCAUAUGGGAUUAGCUUGUAGGUAAGGUAACGGCUUACCUAGGCGACGAUCCCUAGCUGGUCUGAGAAGAUGAUCAGCCGCACUGGGACUGAGACACGGCCCAG
rnacentral:rRNA from 1 species